rnacentral:rRNA from 1 species
GACGACCUUUGGCGGCGCGCCUAACACAUGCAAGUCGAACGGAGCUUAGAGAGCUUGCUUUUUAAGCUUAGUGGCGAACGGGUGAGUAACGCGUGAGUAACCUGCCCUAGAGUGGGGGACAACAGUUGGAAACGACUGCUAAUACCGCAUAAGCCCACGGUACCGCAUGGUACUGAGGGAAAAGGAUUUAUUCGCUUUAGGAUGGACUCGCGUCCAAUUAGCUAGUUGGUGAGGUAACGGCCCACCAAGGCGACGAUUGGUAGCCGGACUGAGAGGUUGAACGGCCACAUUGGGACUGAGACACGGCCCAGACUCCUACGGGAGGCAGCAGUGGGGGAUAUUGCACAAUGGGGGAAACCCUGAUGCAGCGACGCCGCGUGGAGGAAGAAGGUUUUCGGAUUGUAAACUCCUGUCGUUAGGGACGAUAAUGACGGUACCUAACAAGAAAGCACCGGCUAACUACGUGCCAGCAGCCGCGGUAAAACGUAGGGUGCAAGCGUUGUCCGGAAUUACUGGGUGUAAAGGGAGCGCAGGCGGGAAGACAAGUUGGAAGUGAAAACCAUGGGCUCAACCCAUGAAUUGCUUUCAAAACUGUUUUUCUUGAGUAGUGCAGAGGUAGAUGGAAUUCCCGGUGUAGCGGUGGAAUGCGUAGAUAUCGGGAGGAACACCAGUGGCGAAGGCGGUCUACUGGGCACCAACUGACGCUGAGGCUCGAAAGCAUGGGUAGCAAACAGGAGUAGAUACCCUGGUAGUCCAUGCCGUAAAC